UACGUAGGGUCCAAGCGUUAUCCGGAAUUACUGGGCGUAAAGAGUUGCGUAGGUGGCAUAGUAAGCAAGUAGUGAAAGCGUUCGGCUCAACCGAAUAUACAUUAUUUGAACUGCUAAGCUAGAGGAUGAGAGAGGUUAUUGGAAUUGCUAGUGUAGGAGUGAAAUCCGUAGAUAUUAGCAGGAACACCAGUGGCGAAGGCGGCUAUCUGGCCCAAUACUGACACUGAGGUGCGAAAGCGUGGGGAUCAAACAGG
rnacentral:rRNA from 1 species